GCCUGUGUGGCUCACUGGGCAGAGCCUUGGCCUGAGGACUGCAGAGUCCCGGGUUCGAUUCCGGGCAAGGGCA
rnacentral:tRNA from 1 species